rnacentral:rRNA from 1 species
GACGAACGCUGGCGGCGUGCUUAACACAUGCAAGUCGAACGAUGAAGAAAAGAAUCGCAGCUUCGGCAGAAAUUCAUUUCGGAUUAGUGGCAGACGGGUGAGUAACGCGUGAGCAACCUACCUCUUGCAAAGGGAUAGCCUCGGGAAACCGGGAUUAAUACCAUAUAACAUUGCGACGAAGCAUUUCGAUGCAAUCAAAGCUACGGCGGUAAGAGAUGGGCUCGCGUCCCAUUAACCGGAUGGUGAGGUAACGGCUCACCAUAGUGACGAUGGGUAACCGGCCUGAGAGGGUGAACGGUCACACUGGAACUGAGACACGGUCCAGACUCCUACGGGAGGCAGCAGUGGGGAAUAUUGCACAAUGGAGGGAACUCUGAUGCAGCGACGCCGCGUGAGUGAUGAAGGAAUUCGUUUCGUAAAACUCUGUUCUAUGGGAAGAAAAGGACUGUACCAUAGGAGAAAGCUCCGGCUAAAUACGUG